GCCAGGAUCCAUCUCUUCCCAGACCUCAUUUAAGGGUUGUCAGGGGGCAGUAAUGGUGUUUUGCUGGAGAUCCCUGAUGCCUUCUAAGAUCGUGAAAAGGGAAAGUGGACAUACGGAGAUGAAUGGAAGAGGUAACAUGGUGUGUUUUGGAUUUAGAAGAAAAGUAAUACUGAUAAUAUACACCAAUUUUCUCCCGAAUUCAACUGUGGAGAAGUGAGUGAACAGAUGUGUAUUGCUUCACUUCCUGACAGUUUAACCCACAACAGGUCACAUAGGGAUGGGCAAAACAACAGCUUCCUACCAGUUAUGUGUUUCAGAUACCUACGGUGGAUGUGAAGAGCAUAACCUCGGGUUCCUAUUAGCAGAGCCUAUCUCUGUACUGCCUGUGCCAACCUGGCAGGCAGGUGGCCCGUCCUCCCCCCUUCCAUGUCUUUGUUGGACGCCAAGAAUCCUCAGAAAUAUUAACUGAUUGCCUUAGUAUACGUACAUCCAUUUUCUCUCACUGUACUUUAAAUGAUGUGGCCGUUUCUUGAUCUGAGUUACAGAGCUUUACCUAGAUUUUCCUACUACCAUAGAAAUGCAGCCUCUCUCAAUUUUUGUCAGUAUAUAAACAAAUGUUGCAUUCAUCAGCCAACCAUGCAAUCUUCAGAAAAAGUACUCAUAAACUUUGGUUGGAGCUGUAUAAAUCUCUCCCAUAUCUAUCCCAAAUAGUGCAGCAAAUAAAGCAAUUGCAUCUGUGAAAUGAAGGACUGAGACUAGUCAUUCAUUAUUCUCCUUGUUAAUAAUCCUGUUCUAUUUACCUAUUUUAUUUUUUUUCCUUCUGUAACUCAGUUCUCCUAGGUCCUUUGAGCAGGACCUGAGGCAGCUCUCAUUCUGAAGUUUUCUUUAUUUACCUACAGUUACAAAGUCACAGGUGUAUGUGCUUGUUCUAAUAUUUAUCUUAAAUUUUCAAAUAAAGUAAACUAAUUUUCCUAGGUAAUGAUGCUACUGA